rnacentral:sRNA from 1 species
GUACCAUCAGCGCCUCGAAACUUCAAUGCAGAGCUGACCAGUGCCACAUCGGUAAGUUUUUUUUUAUUUGGUUUUUUGCUUUACUCAAAAAGUGAUGAAUGUCUUUCCAUUUUUGUUAUCUUCGUUCAAGAUCUUGUAAAAGUAUCCCUCACUUGACAAUUUGAGAAAUGACUUCAAACUCUCCGAAAAAACAUAGUACACACAUUAUCUGAUCAUCGUAACGGAAACUUUAUGUAUUUCUUUUGUUUCAGGUCAAACUGACAUGGGAUGCUCCAGCAGCGGCCAACGGAGCCCUUCUCGGCUACUACGUGUACCUGGAUCGAAUGGUGAACGGAGAACCGGUCGUUGAAAAGGGCAGCAAGAAGCGAAUAGUAAUGAUUCGAGAUUCUUCGAAACGAUACUUUGAGCUGGAUAGUCUCGACCCGAACACCGAGUACUCGUUCCGAUUGAACGCAUUCAACAGAAACGGGGAUGGAGAGUUUUCGGAGCGGAAAAGCAUCAUCACACAGGGAAUUCGUGAGUUUUUUGUUUGUGGGUUUUCAAAACUAAAAUUGGCUAAAAUCGUAUUUUCUGAACAAAUUAAGAAUAGCUAUAAAACAAAAUUUUCUAGCAGAAAAAAAGACAAAGGCAUAUGUAUUAAUCCUGGUUACGAUAGAACUAGAAUAAAGCAAUAAAUCAACUUUUUUGGAUAUCCAAACGAAAGUAAAAGAAAGUUUUCUGAUUUGGAAUACAUCGGAAAAUGAUUUACAAUCACUUAUACAAUGCUAAAAUGACUAAAUAUCCUUGUAGACUUUUUCGAAUUUUUUAAAAUCUAUAGCGCCAGUUAAAAAUUGUUCCGUUAUUCAGUUUUAACGUAAUUUUGAAUGCAAAAAUUGUUUACUACUAUAUUUUAACUAUGUAUACAUAUUUAUGAAUUUUAGCGGUUUCGUUAACUCGAAAAUAUCAUAAUUUUCCAAAAACUGGAAUGUUUGAAGAGAAAUACUAGAAUUUUCUGAAAGGUUCACUGGAGCUACUCCACUUUCUAACUUCUAACCUGCAGCUAAAUUUCUAUAAAGUUCUACAUUUUUGAAAUUUUGGUAAUUUGCCAAAACUUUGGCCUUUUUACACUUCUCAAAAAAAAAAUUUUGCAGCCCCCGAAGCGCCCGAGAUCGUGUCUGUAUCACUGGAUCGCGACGAGCCACCCGUCGUAGCCAGAAUUGAGUGGAAGAUGCCGAAAAUGAAGCCGAACGAGACACCGAUAGAAAAGUACAAUCUAUGGUUACGCGCACAAGGAUAUCCGGACUCAUAUGUCAAGGCGAAGACAGUCGACGGAACCGAUCUAUCAACUACUAUUUCUGGUCUUUGUAAGUGUUUUUUUUGAACCUGCGUGAAGAUAUUUUAAUUUAAAAAAUUGUUAUAACUCCGACAAUUUUUCAGGGAUGGGAGUAGUGUAUGAUGUUCUGCUUGCCGCUGAAAAUCGAGAAGGACGAUCCCAAAAUGCCACAGAAACCAUCGCAACGCCGGUUGGAAGUCCCGAUGGUGAACCGAUUGAUGUUCAGUACGAAGUGAUGAAAGGAAAGGUUUGUUGAGCUAUUGGAACAUCAUCAUUUUUCGAGUUUAUGACUGUGUGUAGUUCUCAUGAAUACACACUCAACUCGAACAUGUGAAGAGAAAAGUGGGAGACUAUAGGAAUAUUAUGAAUGUUGAAAAAACUAGUGGAGAAGGAUGAGGAGGAGGAGUCCAGAACUCAUCUUCUCUUUGUCAAAUUUUAUGGCCGAGAGUGCAGAUGUUGUUCACUUUGCUUUUGAGCCACUCACUUUAGAGACACUAUCACUUCACAAUAUUUACUAUAAUUUUCAACAUUUACCUGAUUCUCCAGGUUGCAAAGCAUGGCUAAUAACUUGGAUAAGGUGCGCAAUAAAUCAGGGGUGACCUCUUGCAUCAUGUUUCUCCAACAUUUUUCAUUAAAAAUUGGUGUCAAAAUAUAGAAAAUCACAAUGCAUUUGAAAAUAUCAUGCAUUUCAACUGAAGUACUUAAGAAAAUACUCAAAUAUGGCCUGAAGUUUGUCAUUUUCCCGAUCUUUGUUUUCCAACAAUUGGCAACUUUCAGAUUAUUCUUGAAUUCUUUUUUUUGCUGUUUCAGUUAAAAAUUUGAAAUACAUUAAGUGAUUUUCUAUAUUUUGGCAUUAAUUUGUAAUGAAAAAUGUUGGAUCAACAUGGUGCAAUAGGACAUUUUGUAGAAUUGCCGAUACCCGUCAAAAUAUGUAUUUCAGUAUUUUUCUUUUUUCCAGAUCGUCGUUUCAUGGAGGCCCCCAUCUGAGGAGAAGAGAAAUGGUAACAUCACAAGUUACAAGGCCAUUUUGUCGGCGAUGGAUGCUACUGCGGAUCGAUAUGAGCAACCG